CAGCCGCCACGGGAAUACGAAGGGGGCUAGCGUUGCUCGGAAUCACUGGGCGUAAAGGGCGCGUAGGCGGACUUUUAAGUCGGAGGUGAAAGCCCAGGACUCAACCCUGGAAUUGCCUUCGAUACUGGGAGUCUUGAGUUCGGAAGAGGUUGGUGGAACUGCGAGUGUAGAGGUGAAAUUCGUAGAUAUUCGCAAGAACACCGGUGGCGAAGGCGGCCAACUGGUCCGAAACUGACGCUGAGGCGCGAAAGCGUGGGGAGCAAACAGGAUUAGAUACCCCUGUAGUCCCUGUCUCUUAUAC
rnacentral:rRNA from 1 species